rnacentral:lncRNA from 10 species
AAAAAAUUUUAAAAUGGAAACAAAUUUCUUGAAUCUCUUAAUAUAAGGCCUAAAAUUUCUUUUUUCAGAAAAUAAUGCUGUGGAAAAUCUACAAGUCUACUUGUAAUCAUUGUUAGUAUUUUGGUACCUUAAGUCUCUUAGGACGUGUUUCAAGAUUAGACAGUAGAGUUGCAUAUAGACCUAAUUUUACGUCCAACUUUAUUGUUAAUAGGGUUUUCAAAAGUAUUGUCAUGGGAAACUUGUGUACUAUGGGAGUAAAAAUUAAGAGAGAUAGAAUUAAUAUAAACUCCGGUAAUCCCAGCAGUUUGGGAGGCUGAGGCGGGCGAAUCACAAAAGGACAGGAGUUGGGGACCAUCGUGGCCAACAUGGUGAAACCCUGUCUACUAAAAAUACAAACAUUAGCUGGGUGUGGCGGUGCGAGCCUGUAGUCCCAGCUACUUGCAAGGCUGAGGCAGGAGAAUUACUUGAAUCUAGGAGGUGGAGGUUGCAGUGAGCCGAAAUCACAACACUGCAUUCCAGCCUGGCGACAGAGCGAGAAUCCGUCUCAAAAAAUAAAAACAAAACCUAAUGUAUAUAGUAUAAUGCCAUUUCCUUUUUCUACUUGUG